rnacentral:rRNA from 1 species
AGGCAGCAGUGGGGAAUUUUGGACAAUGGGCGAAAGCCUGAUCCAGCAAUGCCGCGUGCAGGAAGAAGGCCUUCGGGUUGUAAACUGCUUUUGUACGGAACGAAAAAGUCUGCCUUAAUACGGUGGGCCCAUGACGGUACCGUAAGAAUAAGCACCGGCUAACUACGUGCCAGCAGCCGCGGUAAUACGUAGGGUGCGAGCGUUAAUCGGAAUUACUGGGCGUAAAGCGUGCGCAGGCGGUGAUGCAAGACAGUUGUGAAAUCCCCGGGCUCAACCUGGGAAUUGCAUCUGUGACUGCAUCGCUAGAGUACGGUAGAGGGGGAUGGAAUUCCGCGUGUAGCAGUGAAAUGCGUAGAUAUGCGGAGGAACGCCGAUGGCGAAGGCAAUCCCCUGGACCUGUACUGACGCUCAUGCACGAAAGCGUGGGGAGCAAACAGGAUUAGAUACCCUGGUAGUCCACGCCCUAAACGAUGUCAACUGGUUGUUGGGUGCAUUAGUACUCAGUAACGAAGCUAACGCGUGAAGUUGACCGCCUGGGGAGUACGGCCGCAAGGUUGAAACUCAAAUGAAUUGACGG